rnacentral:rRNA from 1 species
AGGACGAACGCUGGCGGCGUGCUUAACACAUGCAAGUCGAGCGGAAAGGCCCUUCGGGGUACUCGAGCGGCGAACGGGUGAGUAACACGUGAGCAACCUGCCCUUGGCUCUGGGAUAGCCUCCGGAAACGGGGAUUAAUACCGGACAUUCACUUUCUCCUGCAUGGGGGGUUGGUGGAAAGUUUUUCGGCCAGGGAGGGGCUCGCGGCCUAUCAGCUUGUUGGCGGGGUAACGGCCCACCAAGGCGACGACGGGUAGCCGGCCUGAGAGGGCGAUCGGCCACACUGGGACUGAGACACGGCCCAGACUCCUACGGGAGGCAGCAGUGGGGAAUAUUGCACAAUGGGCGCAAGCCUGAUGCAGCGACGCCGCGUGGGGGAUGAAGGCCUUCGGGUUGUAAACCCCUUUCACCAGGAGCGAAUUCAGACGGUACCUGGGGAAGAAGCGCCGGCUAACUACGUGCCAGCAGCCGC